UACGUAGGGUGCGAGCGUUGUCCGGAAUUAUUGGGCGUAAAGAGCUCGUAGGCGGUUUGUCGCGUCGACUGUGAAAACCCGAGGCUUAACCUCGGGCCUGCAGUCGAUACGGGCAGACUAGAGUUCGGUAGGGGAGACUGGAAUUCCUGGUGUAGCGGUGAAAUGCGCAGAUAUCAGGAAGAACACCGACGGCGAAGGCAGCUCGCUGGGACGGUACUGACGCUGAGGCGCGAAAGCCGGGGGAGCAAACGGG
rnacentral:rRNA from 1 species